GGAACUUGUGUAUGUGGAAGGGGUUAGAAGGCCUAGAAGAGAGAGGUUGAUGCUUUCAUUCUGGAGGAAAAUACUGAGGCCGAGCCUCCAUGGGUGCCUUGGAGACUCCAAGCCUUGAAUCCAGUGUGGGGAUAUGCAAGCUAUGUCUAGCGAGGGACACAUCCUCUGACCUCAGGAACCUCCCAGGUAGUUGGGAGGAACCUGGUUCCAACCUCCCAAGAACUCUCAGUCUGAUGAGGUACAGGGGAGGUCUCAUUAGUGUAUCAUGGGGUUCUCCACAGGUCUGAGGGCCUGAUGUGUGUGAAACCAUUCUGCAGAGCUGGGAACGGGUCAGGAGGUGGUUGUGUGUGUGUGUGUGUGUGUGUGUGUGCAUUGCUGGAGGGCACUCCUUGUGUGCUCUGAGUGUGACAGAGGAAGUCACCCUGGACUUAGGUUGGAUGGGAGAGCAUGUCUGUGUGUCUCAGAGCCACCAAGGAGGAGCAGGGGAGCGACGGCCGGGGCAGAAGUUGAGACCACCCAGCAGAGGAGCUAGGCCAGUCCAUCUGCAUUUGUCACCCAAGAACUCUUACCAUGAAGACCCUCCUACUGUUGGCAGUGAUCAUGAUCUUUGGUAAGAGCUGACCCUGACCUCUGAGCAUGGGGGGACAGCCCCAGAAGGGAAGCACUCUUGUCCCUUAGUUUUCUCUCCCAUUGCAGUGAUCCUCUCUCAGGGGGAAAAAAGAAGCCAUUUGGGAGGAAGGAGAGUAGCAGAGAGGGGCAGAGAGGGAGGGCGCAGAACCCCAUGCCCCAUCACCAGACAACUCCCAAAUUUCCUUCCAGGCCUACUGCAGGCCCAUGGGAAUUUGGUGAAUUUCCACAGAAUGAUCAAGUUGACGACAGGAAAGGAAGCCGCACUCAGUUAUGGCUUCUACGGCUGCCACUGUGGCGUGGGUGGCAGAGGAUCCCCCAAGGAUGCAACGGAUCGGUGAGGCCACCUAUCCCUCCCUACCCUCCUAGACUCUGGCCCAGGCAGGGCUGGGAGCUGCAAAGACAGUGCCGGUUCCUGAUGGGCGCAGAGGUCUCAGGAUGGCCUGGCUGGAAAAGCAGCCGGCAUGUUGGAACUUCUGCUCUAGACUGUUGCAAAGUCACUGGGUCUCUGCCCAGGGUCCAAGGGGGUGAGACCACAGGCACCAGGCCUCCUGGAGCUGUGGGACAAGAGCCCCAACAGGGUGUCUCCUCACAGCUGCUGUGUCACUCAUGACUGUUGCUACAAACGUCUGGAGAAACGUGGAUGUGGCACCAAAUUUCUGAGCUACAAGUUUAGCAACUCGGGGAGCAGAAUCACCUGUGCAAAACAGGACUCCUGCAGAAGUCAACUGUGUGAGUGUGAUAAGGCUGCUGCCACCUGUUUUGCUAGAAACAAGACGACCUACAAUAAAAAGUACCAGUACUAUUCCAAUAAACACUGCAGAGGGAGCACCCCUCGUUGCUGAGUCCCCUCUUCCCUGGAAACCUUCCACCCAGUGCUGAAUUUCCCUCUCUCAUACCCUCCCUCCCUACCCUAACCAAGUUCCUUGGCCAUGCAGAAAGCAUCCCUCACCCAUCCUAGAGGCCAGGCAGGAGCCCUUCUAUACCCACCCAGAAUGAGACAUCCAGCAGAUUUCCAGCCUUCUACUGCUCUCCUCCACCUCAACUCCGUGCUUAACCAAAGAAGCUGUACUCCGGGGGGUCUCUUCUGAAUAAAGCAAUUAGCAAAUC
rnacentral:lncRNA from 1 species